rnacentral:rRNA from 1 species
ACGAACGCUGGCGGCGUGCUUAACCCAUGCAAGUCGAACGGAAAGGCCCUGCUUUUGUGGGGUGCUCGAGUGGCGAACGGGUGAGUAACACGUGAGUAACCUGCCCUUGACUUUUGGAUAACUUCAGGAAACUGGGGCUAAUACCGGAUAGGAGCUCCUGCUGCAUGGUGGGGGUUGGAAAGUUUCGGCGGUUGGGGAUGGACUCGCGGCUUAUCAGCUUGUUGGUGGGGUAGUGGCUUACCAAGGCUUUGACGGGUAGCCGGCCUGAGAGGGUGACCGGCCACAUUGGGACUGAGAUACGGCCCAGACUCCUACGGGAGGCAGCAGUGGGGAAUAUUGCACAAUGGGCGGAAGCCUGAUGCAGCAACGCCGCGUGCGGGAUGACGGCCUUCGGGUUGUAAACCGCUUUCGCCUGUGACGAAGCGUGAGUGACGGUAAUGGGUAAAGAAGCACCGGCUAACUACGUG